rnacentral:rRNA from 1 species
GAUGAACGCUGGCGGCGUGCCUAAUACAUGUAAGUCGAGCGAACGGACGAUUAGCUUGCUUCUCUGAUGUUAGCGGCGGACGGGGGAGGAAUAAGUGGAGAACCUACCUAUAAGACUGGGAUAACUUCGGGAAACCUAAGCUAAUUCCGUCUAAUAUUUUAAACCGCAUGGUUAGAAAGUUAAAGACGGUCAUGCUGACACCUGUACAUCGAUCCGCGCUGGAUUAGCAAGUUGGUAAGGUAACGGCCUAUCAAAGCAACGAUGCAUAACAGACCUGAGAGGGUGAACGGCCCCACUGAAACUGAGACACGACCCGGCCUCCUACGGGAGGCCGAGGUAAGGAAUCUUCCGCAAUGGGCGAAAGCCUGACGGAGCAACGCCGCGUGAGUGAUGAAGGUCUUCGGGUCGUAAAACUCUGUUAUUAGGGAAGAACAUAUGUGUAAGUAACUGUGCACAUCUUGACGGUACCUAAUCAGAAAGCCACGGCUAACUACGUG